UGGGGAAUUUUGGACAAUGGGCGCAAGCCUGAUCCAGCAAUGCCGCGUGCAGGAAGAAGGCCUUCGGGUUGUAAACUGCUUUUGUACGGAACGAAAAGGCUCUGGUUAAUACCUGGGGCACAUGACGGUACCGUAAGAAUAAGCACCGGCUAACUACGUGCCAGCAGCCGCGGUAAUACGUAGGGUGCAAGCGUUAAUCGGAAUUACUGGGCGUAAAGCGUGCGCAGGCGGUUUUGUAAGACAGGCGUGAAAUCCCCGGGCUUAACCUGGGAAUUGCGUUUGUGACUGCAAGGCUGGAGUGCGGCAGAGGGGGAUGGAAUUCCGCGUGUAGCAGUGAAAUGCGUAGAUAUGCGGAGGAACACCGAUGGCGAAGGCAAUCCCCUGGGCCUGCACUGACGCUCAUGCACGAAAGCGUGGGGAGCAAACAGGAUUAGAUACCCAUGUAGUCCCUGAGCGGGCUGGCAAGGCGCAU
rnacentral:rRNA from 1 species